rnacentral:rRNA from 1 species
AAAUUAUUGAAUUAUUAAAAAAUUGAAUUAGUUUAAAUUUUAAAAAAAGAAAUUUAUAGUUUUAUUAGUAUGUAUGAAUUAAUAUAUUUAAUAAUAGAGAAUUAGUAUUGUGAAAGAAUUUUAUAAAUUUUUUAUAAGAAAAAUUUGAUUUUUGUACCUUGGGUAUCAGGGUUUAUUAAAUAAUUUUUAAAAAUUUAAUUUUCUCGAAUUUAAAAGAGCUAAAAUUGUAUAAUUUUUAUUGUAGAAUAAAUAUUAUAAAUAUAGUUUUAGAAGUGAAAUGCUAUACGAUUUUAAAUAUAUCUAGUUUUUUAAGAAAAAAAUUUAAUUUUUUUAUUAUAUAGUAUUUAUUUAAAUUAUUAAGUAGAUAUUAGUAAUAUAAAAUAUUUUAGGGGAUGAGCUUUAAAAUAAAAUUAUAUAAUUUAUAAUAUAAUAUAAUAUUAAUAAGUAGAAUUAUAAGUUUUUAUCUUUAUUAGUGUUUUAUCACUAUUUAAUUUUUGGUUAAGAUUUAUAUAAAUAUAUAGAUUUAUAUUUUUUAUUAAAAUAUAAAUAUUAAUUAUUAAUAUUUAGAAAUAAUGAUAAAAUUAGUAUAAAUUUAUGUUUAAUUUUUAGAAUAUUAAAGGUUAAUUAAAGGAACUCGGCAAAUAUAUUUUUCACCUGUUUAUUAAAAACAUGGCCUUUUGAUAUUGAUUUAAGGUCUGGCCUGCCCAAUGAUUUUUAAAUGGCCGCGGUAUUUUGACCGUGCAAAGGUAGCAUAAUCAUUAGUUUUUUAAUUGGAAGCUUGUAUGAAAGGUUGGAUGAGAGAAUAACUGUCUCUAUUUAAAUUAAUUAGAAUUUUAUUUUUAAGUAAAAAAGCUUAAAUAUUUAUAGAAGACGAGAAGACCCUAUAGAGUUUUAUAAUUUAUUUUAUUUAAGUUUUUAGAAUUUUAAUUUUAUAUAAAAUGGAUUAUUUGAUUGGGGUGAUUGAAAAAUUUAAUAAACUUUUUUUUUAUUUAUACAUUUAUUUAUGAAUAAUUGAUCCUAUUUUUUAGAUUAUAAGAUAAAAUUACCUUAGGGAUAACAGCGUUAUUUUUUUUAAGAGUUCAAAUCGAAAAAAAAGAUUGCGACCUCGAUGUUGGAUUAAAAUGAAUUUUUGGUGUAGAAGCUAAAAGAUUAGGUCUGUUCGACCUUUAAUAUUUUACAUGAUCUGAGUUUAAACCGGUGUGAGCCAGGUUGGUUUCUAUCUCUAUAGAAAUAAAAUAUUUUAGUACGAAAGGACCAAAUAUUUAAAUAAGAUUUUUUAAAAAGAAUAAUAUUA